AUGGCUGUCGUCAGCUCGUGUCGUGAGAUGCUGGGUUAAGUCCCGCAACCGAGCGCAACCCUUGCCUUUAGUUGCCAGGCACGUUAUGGUGGGCACUCUAAGGAGACUGCCGGUGACAAACCGGAGGAAGGUGGGGAUGACGUCAAGUCAUCAUGGCCCUUACGGCCUGGGCUACACACGUGCUACAAUGGUCGGUACAAAGGGUUGCCAAGCCGCGAGGUGGAGCUAAUCCCAUAAAACCGAUCGUAGUCCGGAUCGCAGUCUGCAACUCGACUGCGUGAAGUCGGAAUCGCUAGUAAUCGCGAAUCAGAAUGUCACGGUGAAUACGUUCCCGGGCCUU
rnacentral:rRNA from 1 species